UCGCGAUGGGUGCCGGCAGGAGCGUGAAUACGGGGGGUGCAAGGUGUAUCCGGAUUUAUUGGGUUUAAAGGGUUCGUAGGCGGGCCCGUAAGUCAGUGGUGAAAUCUCGCAGCUUAACUGUGAAACUGCCAUUGAUACUGCGGGUCUUGAGUAAAUUUGAAGUGGCUGGAAUAAGUAGUGUAGCGGUGAAAUGCAUAGAUAUUACUUAGAACACCAAUUGCGAAGGCAGGUCACUAAGAUUUAACUGACGCUGAUGGACGAAAGCGUGGGGAGCGAACAGGAUUGGAUACCCUGGUAGUC
rnacentral:rRNA from 1 species